rnacentral:tRNA from 1 species
GGUUUUAUAGUUUAAAAUAAAAUAUUAAAUUGCAAAUUUAAUGACAGAUAAAUUCUCAUAUCUUAAAACUU